AAGUCGCCCCUAGACAGAGAGUUUGUUGAUUGCUCCUUAGGAGCCAGGCACUGUCAGGACAGGAGGAUGGGAUGAGGAGAUGGACAUGAAUCUGACCCGGCUUCUUUGAGGGAGCCUAAAGAAAUCUAAGAGAUGACAUGGACAGCCCCAAGGAUUGAGUAAUCAUGUAAAAAGUGAAAAAUGGAAGUUGGAUGAAAAAAUAAAAACACAGUCGAACUUCAGCAGGAUGUAACAAACAAAUAUCAAAGACCCCAGGAAG
rnacentral:lncRNA from 1 species